GUUAAUGUAGCUUAAUUAUUUAAAGCAAGACACUGAAAAUGUCUAGAUGGGCUUAUACAGCCCCGUAAACA
rfam:Homo sapiens chromosome 9, GRCh38 reference primary assembly.